UUUUUUUACUUGUUGUUAUGUAUAUCACUAUUAGAGUCAUACCUACGGUUGUUGUUCAUUAUGACUGGAAACUUAAACAACUUAAUGUGAAACCAACCUUUUUGCAUGGGGACCUCAAUGAAAAGAUUUUCAUGUAUCAACCCAAAGGUUUUGAAAAUAAAAACAAACCUAAUCUCAAAAAAUCUCUAUAUGGUUUAAAACAGUCUCCUAGACAAUUAUACAAGAAGUAUGAUUCUUAUGUAUUGUCUAUUGGUUUCAAGAGGAGUGGGUUGUUUGGAUUUGGUCUUUGAUCCUAUUUGUGGUGUUGAGAGUGGCUUAUGAUUUAAGCCCCUAAUUUACACCACCAUUAAGGAGCAUAUUGGAGAUUUCAAUUUAUCAAUUGGUUUCUUCAAUUCCUUGUUAUUUGCUUUCCAAUUAUUGUUUUAACUUUGAAUUUAUUUAUGAUUUUGCAAGGUUGAUUCUUACAAUACCAACUUAUAGGCAGCUGGAUCUCAAAAUAAGAUGGGUGAUAGAAAAUUUCGGUAGACUUAAAUUUGGCAGAGUUGAACAAUUCCAAGGGAAGAGAGGCAAGUCUAAUAUCAGGUCUGAUUUCUUCCCACUGCCGUCGUCAUCAGUAUUGAGAAGUUCUUAUCUUACGGAUAGGAAAUCAAUUUCAAGUCUAAUAUAUCCACGGUACGAUCAACAGUGAAACAAAAUGAAUUCGAUGAAGUACAUUAUUUGGGAUUUUUAAGAAAUUGUAGAAGGUUCAACGUUGCAAUCACCAUAGCCAGAUCUCUGCUUAUUGUUGUUUGGAAUCCACACAUCUUUUGCAAGGAUCCAUUCUGGAACAAGCUCCUACGGUAUUGUGUGGAUAAUGGCUCAUUUAAGGGUAGCUUUCUUCCUGAAAGGCAGGAAUUCAUUGAAAAAUAGUCUGGAGAGGAACAUUAUUCAGGCUAUGAAGUGGAAAUUUAUUAUCAGCCAUCUGAGUUGGGUUGAGGGUGAUGAAGAAAAUAAUUAUAAGCCAUCAUCCGUGUCAUGGGGCGAGCCAGAAAACAGAUUCAAGCCCACUAAUAGCCAGUGUGGUGAGGCAGAAAACAACAUAGAGCCCUUGGAAGUGCAGUGGGGGUGACACAAAUAAUAGUUAUAAGUCCCCUGAUGUGCAGUGGGGUGAGCUAGAAAAUGAGUUUAAGCCCUCUAAUUUCCAGUCUGGUGAGGGAAAACAGCUUUAAGCCCUUGGAAGCACAUUGGGGUGAGGCAGAGAGCAGUUAUGAGACCUCGGAUGUGCAGUGUGUGAGGCAGAAAACAACUUUUAAGCCCUUAAGCUCUGCUACCUGGAAAGUUGGAGUAGGAAUCCUUUUAGUGGCAGAUGAAAUUCUUGCUGGUAUGGUUGAAUUCCUAUGCUGAAUCGGUAACUCGUUAGAAG